UACGUAGGGGGCUAGCGUUGUCCGGAAUCAUUGGGCGUAAAGAGCUCGUAGGCGGUUUGUCGCGUCUGCCGUGAAAACUCGGGGCUUAACCCUGGGCCUGCAGUGGGUACGGGCAGACUAGAGUGCGGUAGGGGAGACUGGAAUUCCUGGUGUAGCGGUGAAAUGCGCAGAUAUCAGGAGGAACACCGGUGGCGAAGGCGGGUCUCUGGGCCGUAACUGACGCUGAGGAGCGAAAGCGUGGGGAGCAAACAGG
rnacentral:rRNA from 1 species